CGGAGGGCCGCCUUCUCUGUCCGGUGCGGGCUCCGGUUGCUGGCUGAGCCAACUCUGGCAGGGGUGCAGGAUCACGGUAUUAGAACAGAAAGGCAGCCAGGAGUCUGAGGAAUGUCAUAUAUAUGACACAUAUGGAGGAGGGAGUUGGGGGUGUCAGCUUCUGCUUUGUCCUCAGCUUGCCUUCUGUUCCCUCAUUGAAAUGUUUUUAAGUUUGUCCACAAAGAUCCCCUAAAGCCAGACAUGUAAAUUGUCAAUUGUGGCAUAUUAAAUCAUUCUUUCACAGUCUCUUAA
rnacentral:lncRNA from 1 species